rnacentral:rRNA from 1 species
UCAUGCCAUCAGAUGUGCCCAGAUGGGAUUAGCUAGUAGGUGGGGUAAUGGCUCACCUAGGCGACGAUCCCUAGCUGGUCUGAGGGAUGACCAGCCACACUGGAACUGAGACACGGUCCAGACUCCUACGGGAGGCAGCAGUGGGGAAUAUUGCACAAUGGGCGCAAGCCUGAUGCAGCCAUGCGCGUGUAUGAAGAAGGCCUUCCGGGUUGUAAAGUACUUUCAGCGAGGAGGAAGGCAUUAAGGUUAAUAACCUUGGUGAUUGACGUUACUCGCAGAAGAACACCGGCUAACUCCGUGCCAGCAGCCGCGGUAAUACGGAGGGUGCAAGCGUUUAAUCGGAAAUUACUGGGCGUAAAGCGGCACGCAGGCGGUCUGUCAAGUCGGAUGUGAAAUCCCCGGGCUCAACCUGGGAACUGCAUUCGAAACUGGCAGGCCUAGAGUCUUGUAGAGGGGGGUAGAAUUCCAGGUGUAGCGGUGAAAUGCGUAGAGAUCUGGAGGAAUACCGGUGGCGAAGGCGGCCCCCUGGACAAAGACUGACGCUCAGGUGCGAAAGCGUGGGGAGCAAACAGGAUUAGAUACCCUGGUAGUCCACGCCGUAAACGAUGUCGACUUGGAGGUUGUGCCCUUGAGGCGUGGCUUCCGGAGCUAACGCGUUAAGGUCGACCGCCUUGGGAGUACGGCCGCAAGGUUAAAACUCAAAUGAAUUGACGGGGGCCCGCACAAGCGGUGGAGCAUGUGGUUUAAUUCGAUGCAACGCGAAGAACCUUACCUACUCUUGACAUCCAGAGAACUUAGCAGAGAUGCUUUGGUGCCUUCGGGAACUCUGAGACAGGUGCUGCAUGGCUGUCGUCAGCUCGUGUUGUGAAAUGUUGGGUUAAGUCCCGCAACGAGCGCAACCCUUAUCCUUUGUUGCCAGCGAUUCGGUCGGGAACUCAAAGGAGACUGCCAGUGAUAAACUGGAGGAAGGUGGGGAUGACGUCAAGUCAUCAUGGCCCUUACGAGUAGGGCUACACACGUGCUACAAUGGCAUAUACAAAGAGAAGCGACCUCGCGAGAGCAAGCGGACCUCAUAAAGUAUGUCGUAGUCCGGAUUGGAGUCUGCAACUCGACUCCAUGAAGUCGGAAUCGCUAGUAAUCGUAGAUCAGAAUGCUACGGUGAAUACGUUCCCGGGCCUUGUACACACCGCCCGUCACACCAUGGGAGUGGGUUGCAAAAGAAGUAGGUAGCUUAACCUUCGGGAGGGCGCUUACCACUUUGUGAUUCAUGACUGGGGUGAAGUCGUAACAAGGUAACCGUAGGGGAACCUGCGGUUGGAUCACCU